CCUACGGGUGGCUGCAGUGGGGAAUAUUGCACAAUGGGGGAAACCCUGAUGCAGCGACGCCGCGUGAAGGAAGAAGUAUUUCGGUAUGUAAACUUCUAUCAGCAGGGAAGAAAAUGACGGUACCUGACUAAGAAGCCCCGGCUAACUACGUGCCAGCAGCCGCGGGAAUACGUAGGGGGCACGCGUUAUCCGGAUUUACUGGGGGUAAGGUGAGGGUAGGCGGGUUAGCAAGUCAGAAGUGAAAGCCCGGGGCUCAACUGCGGGAUUGCUUUUGAAACUGUUGAACUAGAGUGCAGGAAAGGUAGGUGGAAUUCCUGGUGUAGCGGUGAAAUGCGUAGAUAUUAGGAGGAACACCAGUGGCGAAGGCGGCUGACUGGACUGUAAAUGACGCUGAGGCUCGAAAGCGUGGGGAGCAAACAGGAUUAGAUACCCCUGUAGUC
rnacentral:rRNA from 1 species